CUCCAUUUACCAAUCAACUUAAGAAAUACAUCCAAGAAGUUGGAACAAAUUUUGAAGAUUGAAGUUACAAGUCAAGAUACAAGUUUAGAAGAUGGAAAAGAUCAUUAUUAUUUUGCUAUGGAAGUUAUACAAAACAUGAUAUCAUGGUCUAGCUUGAGAUGUUGAUUAGCUAAGCUUUUUUGUUCAGAAAAUAUUGAAACUAACAUCAUGGGAUGUUAACCAAUUUUUAUAUUUAGAUCAGCCUUUUGUUUGGAGA